rnacentral:rRNA from 1 species
UAGGGAAUCUUCGGCAAUGGGGGGAACCCUGACCGAGCAACGCCGCGUGAGUGAAGAAGGUUUUCGGAUCGUAAAGCUCUGUUGUUAAGGAAGAACGAGUGUGAGAAUGGAAAGUUCAUGCUGUGACGGUACUUAACCAGAAAGGGACGGCUAACUACGUGCCAGCAGCCGCGGUAAUACGUAGGGUGCGAGCGUUGUCCGGAAUUACUGGGCGUAAAGAGCUCGUAGGCGGUUUGUCACGUCGUCUGUGAAAUCCUAGGGCUUAACCCUGGACGUGCAGGCGAUACGGGCUGACUUGAGUACUACAGGGGAGACUGGAAUUUCUGGUGUAGCGGUGGAAUGCACAGAUAUCAGGAAGAACACCGAUGGCGAAGGCAGGUCUCUGGGUAGUAACUGACGCUGAGGAGCGAAAGCAUGGGUAGCGAACAGG